GAGGAACACAGCCAGCUCCUGGUGACCCCACAGGGAGAGAGCGGGAGCACUAAGGAUUCCAAACUCAGUCCUCCUGAUCUUCAUCAGUAUUCGUCAUUGGCCAAACAAAUAACUGAAAUUCAGAGGGCAAGAGAGCUCAUUGUUAUCUAAACAGGUCAGCAUGGCAGACAGCGAGGCGAAGAGGGAAGGAAGGUGGAUUUGGAAGAACAAACGGGAGUGACCUAGUGCAGCCCUGAUAAACCCGCUGGGAGCUACCAGAGUAUUUGACCUUGGGCACAGCUGGGGUGGCCCCGAUGGCGCUGCUGUCUGCUGAUGGUCUCCACAGCUUCCCCAGCGAGGCCUUCCUGGAAGGAGUGCUGAGCAGCAAAGCUCUGUGGUCACCACUCAGGACAAAGGGGAACCAGCUGAACAGAGCCUUUCAUGUGACAACAAAAAACGACCUGGCUCAAACAUCACGACAGGCAUCUGUGGAGCCUGGGAAAUGACCUUUCUCAUGGGGAGAACACAGAACACACAAAGCUUUCUCUUAAAAGUCUACAAAAUUAUAAUCUGAUAACAACAGAACGUUUUGGUAUUUUGAGUAAUAGGUGUCACAUCGGAAUUGAUAUUUGCCAAAUUUGGCAUGAUAAUUGAAUGCUUUUUGCUUAUUUAUAUUUCAUAUUUUAGUUGUUUUCUAAUAACCAAAAACAUUUGUGUAUUUUUAAUAAUAGUAGAGGUAAAUGAAAUUUUACAUGUCAGUAAAAAAACUGAAAGAUGAUGCUUGUAAUUUCAAGUCGAUUAAAGAAAAUUAUUAAUAAAACAAUAAAAUACAAAUUAUACAUUUUAUAUUGUGAUACUUAAAGUAGAUGACCUGGUUUAUCCCUGAAGAGAAAGCAUGGAUGCAUAAACCAGACCAUAUUGUAAAUAUUUCAAAUUCAUUGGUAAACAUUGUUUUAAGAAGGUGAUUAGCAAAUAUUGUUUCAAGAAGGUGAUUAAGAAGGUGAUGCAAAAUUUGGAGUACUUUCUGUUUUGUAUUUUUCGUGACUAUUUGUGAGCACUUGGUGCUUAAGACACACUCAAAGAGGUACUGACAAUUUAUCAUAUUCUAAAGCAAUAAAACAGGUUGAAAAUAUCUAAUCAGCUUCCUGGCUAAUCAAGUAAAUGUUACAGAAAUGGGUCAAUAAGACGGUUAGAAAACCCAGCAACUCCCUAGUAUAGACCUCUUCCUUGAGCUCCAAAUCAGAUAGCUUUAUCCAUCUCUCUGAAAAGCAUCUCCAAUUUGAAACCUCUUUCUAUUUCACCUGCUUCACCUGACAGGACCUACCUCCCCAUCACCCACAGAUCCACUGGCCCAGGUGUGUGUACCUAGUCCACCCAAUCGCCAAAGCCAGGAACCUGGGGGCAGCCCAGGCUCCUUCCCCCUUCUCAUAAUAUUCAAC
rnacentral:lncRNA from 10 species